rnacentral:rRNA from 1 species
AGCGAACGCUGGCGGCAGGCCUAAUACAUGCAAGUCGAGCGCACCUUCGGGUGAGCGGCGGACGGGUGAGUAACGCGUGGGAAUGUGCCCUUUGGUACGGAACAACUGAGGGAAACUUCAGCUAAUACCGUAUGUGCCCUUCGGGGAAGAUUUAUCGCCAUUGGAGCAGCCCGCGUUGGAUUAGGUAGUUGGUGAGGUAAAGGCUCACCAAGCCGACGAUCCAUAGCUGGUCUGAGAGGAUGAUCAGCCACACUGGGACUGAGACACGGCCCAGACUCCUACGGGAGGCAGCAGUAGGGAAUCUUGCGCAAUGGGCGAAAGCCUGACGCAGCCAUGCCGCGUGAAUGAUGAAGGUCUUAGGAUUGUAAAAUUCUUUCACCGGGGAAGAUAAUGACGGUACCCGGAGAAGAAGCCCCGGCUAACUUCGUGCCAGCAGCCGCGGUAAU